GAUGAACGCUGGCGGCGUGCCUAAUACAUGCAAGUAGAACGCUGAAGGAAGGAGCUUGCUCUUUCCGGAUGAGUUGCGCACGGGUGAGUAACGCGUAGGUAACCUGCCUGGUAGCGGGGGAUAACUAUUGGAAACGAUAGCUAAUACCGCAUAACAGUAGAUGUUGCAUGAUAUCUACUUAAAAGGUGCAAUUGCACCACUACCAGAUGGACCUGCGUUGUAUUAGCUAGUUGGUGAGGUAACGGCUCACCAAGGCGACGAUACAUAGCCGACCUGAGAGGGUGAUCGGCCACACUGGGACUGAGACACGGCCCAGACUCCUACGGGAGGCAGCAGUAGGGAAUCUUCGGCAAUAGACGGAAGUCUGACCGAGCAACGCCGCGUGAGUGAAGAAGGUUUUCGGAUCGUAAAGCUCUGUUGUAAGAGAAGAACGAGUGUGAGAGUGGAAAGUUCACACUGUGACGGUAUCUUACCAGAAAGGGACGGCUAACUACGUG
rnacentral:rRNA from 1 species